rnacentral:rRNA from 1 species
UACGAAGGGGGCUAGCGUUGUUCGGAAUCACUGGGCGUAAAGGGUGCGCAGGCGGAUUUUUGAGUCAGGGGUGAAAUCCCGAGGCUCAACCUGGGAACUGCCUUUGAUACUGGGGAUCUUGAGUCCGGAAGAGGUGAGUGGAACUGCGAGUGUAGAGGUGAAAUUCGUAGAUAUUCGCAAGAACACCGGUGGCGAAGGCGGCUCUCUGGUCCGGAACUGACGCUGAGGCACGAAAGCGUGGGGAGCAAACAG